CCCCGCCCCGUUGCCAUUCCUAUUAAGGAAGCAGACAAAGUUUAUAUCAGGGACAAGGACAAACAACAAGUCACUUGGAUGCAAGAGCCUACUUUCCCUCUCUACUGCCAACUUCUUCUCCGGAUCAUACAAGGCAAACAUGACAAGCCAAACAAAGAAAAUAAACAGUAAAUGCAUCAACUAGCGGGGAUAAGGCCAGUGCUGUGGAUCUCAUCCAACUUUACUGGCUCUGGAGCGAACAUUUCAAACUUAGUUUGAGCAAAGCUCAUGGGGCUGCACCACCAGAAGACCUCGGUGCCAUUUUUUAUCUGUGCAGAGGAAACUUGAUGUUUCAACAAUCUAUAGCCAGGCUGCAAAGGAGUUUUCCAUUCCAAUGAAUUGGAAAUUGCGGAUUGUUAACACAAGAAGAGCUUCAAUACCUUACUUUGCUUCAAUACCUUAUUGGAAAUUGCUGAUAAUUAACUAUUGGAUUAUACACUCACAAUUAUGAUUUGAUUUAAAUGCAUAAUUGUAAUUUUUGCAAGGAUGUUAAUUAUAUCUCAAAACUCUUAUGCAUUUUCUUCUUUUAUGAAUGAAA